AUCGCAUGAUACAGUGUGAAAAACUCCGGUGGUAUGAGAUGGACCCGCGUCUGAUUAGCUGGUUGGUGAGGUAACGGCCCACCAAGGCGACGAUCAGUAGCCGACCUGAGAGGGUGACCGGCCACAUUGGGACUGAGACACGGCCCAGACUCCUACGGGAGGCAGCAGUGGGGAAUAUUGCACAAUGGAGGAAACUCUGAUGCAGCGACGCCGCGUGAGUGAAGAAGUAGUUCGCUAUGUAAAGCUCUAUCAGCAGGGAAGAUAGUGACGGUACCUGACUAAGAAGCUCCGGCUAAAUACGUGCCAGCAGCCGCGGUAAUACGUAUGGAGCAAGCGUUAUCCGGAUUUACUGGGUGUAAAGGGAGUGUAGGUGGCCAGGCAAGUCAGAAGUGAAAGCCCGGGGCUCAACCCCGGGACUGCUUUUGAAACUGCAGGGCUAGAGUGCAGGAGGGGCAAGUGGAAUUCCUAGUGUAGCGGUGAAAUGCGUAGAUAUUAGGAGGAACACCAGUGACGAAGGCGGCUUGCUGGACUGUAACUGACACUGAGGCUCGAAAGCGUGGGGAGCAAACAGGAUUAGAUACCCUGGUAGUCCACGCCGUA
rnacentral:rRNA from 1 species